rnacentral:misc_RNA from 1 species
GAUGAAGAACGUAGCGAAAUGCGAUACUUGGUGUGAAUUGCAGAAUCCCGUGAACCAUCGAGUCUUUGAACGCAAGUUGCGCCCGAAGCCACUAGGCCGAGGGCACGCCUGCCUGGGCGUCACACGUCGUUGCCCCCCCAUCUACUCCUUCGGGAUUGCGGGGGGGCGGAUGAUGGCCUCCCGUGCGCCUAGCCGCGCGGUUGGCAUAAAUACCAAGUCCUCGGCGACGCACGCCACGACAAUCGGUGGUUGCGAAACCUCGGUUGCCCGUCGUGUGCGUUCGUCGCGCAUCGAGGGCUCGAAAAAAUGCUCGGCUCCGGCUGGGCUUUCAACGCGACCCCAGGUCAGGCGGGGUUACCCGCUGAAUUUAAGCAUAUCAAUAAGCGGAGCA